CUCUGAGGCUAUGAGGGGACUGAAAGUUUCCUGCCUUUACCGACACGUCUGCUCCUCAGGUUCAAGGACCUGGUGACGCCCCUUUCCUAUGUCCACUGAGGUAGCAGUGCUUUGGAUGAGGAGGUGGUAUCAUGGUACUCCCGUGGGAUUUCCCGAAGAAGAGAGUUGCAAGAAACAAACAAAAGAAGAAGCUGAACAUGGUGGAGCAUGUGGGUAACCUUAGUAGUGGGGAGUCUGGAGCAAGAGGAUCACU
rnacentral:lncRNA from 1 species